rnacentral:rRNA from 2 species
UGUUUGGAGAGUUUGAUUCUGGCUCAGGACGAACGCUGGCGGCGUGCUUAACACAUGCAAGUCGAACGGUAAGGCCCUUCGGGGUACACGAGUGGCGAACGGGUGAGUAACACGUGGGUAAUCUGCCCUGCACAUCGGGAUAAGCCUGGGAAACUGGGUCUAAUACCGAAUAGGACCACAGAACACAUGUCCUGUGGUGGAAAGCUUUUGCGGUGUGGGAUGGGCCCGCGGCCUAUCAGCUUGUUGGUGGGGUGAUGGCCCACCAAGGCGACGACGGGUAGCCGGCCUGAGAGGGUGUCCGGCCACACUGGGACUGAGAUACGGCCCAGACUCCUACGGGAGGCAGCAGUGGGGAAUAUUGCACAAUGGGCGAAAGCCUGAUGCAGCGACGCCGCGUGGGGGAUGACGGCCUUCGGGUUGUAAACCUCUUUCACCAUCGACGAAGGUCCGGGUGUUCUCGGGCUGACGGUAGGUGGAGAAGAAGCACCGGCCAACUACGUGCCAGCAGCCGCGGUAAUACGUAGGGUGCGAGCGUUGUCCGGAAUUACUGGGCGUAAAGAGCUCGUAGGUGGUUUGUCGCGUUGUUCGUGAAAUCUCACGGCUUAACUGUGAGCGUGCGGGCGAUACGGGCAGACUUGAGUACUGCAGGGGAGACUGGAAUUCCUGGUGUAGCGGUGGAAUGCGCAGAUAUCAGGAGGAACACCGGUGGCGAAGGCGGGUCUCUGGGCAGUAACUGACGCUGAGGAGCGAAAGCGUGGGGAGCGAACAGGAUUAGAUACCCUGGUAGUCCACGCCGUAAACGGUGGGUACUAGGUGUGGGUUUCCUUCCUUGGGAUCCGUGCCGUAGCUAACGCAUUAAGUACCCCGCCUGGGGAGUACGGCCGCAAGGCUAAAACUCAAAGAAAUUGACGGGGGCCCGCACAAGCGGCGGAGCAUGUGGAUUAAUUCGAUGCAACGCGAAGAACCUUACCUGGGUUUGACAUGCACAGGACGCCGGCAGAGAUGUCGGUUCCCUUGUGGCCUGUGUGCAGGUGGUGCAUGGCUGUCGUCAGCUCGUGUCGUGAGAUGUUGGGUUAAGUCCCGCAACGAGCGCAACCCUUGUCUCAUGUUGCCAGCGGGUAAUGCCGGGGACUCGUGAGAGACUGCCGGGGUCAACUCGGAGGAAGGUGGGGAUGACGUCAAGUCAUCAUGCCCCUUAUGUCCAGGGCUUCACACAUGCUACAAUGGCCGGUACAAAGGGCUGCGAUGCCGCGAGGUUAAGCGAAUCCUUUUAAAGCCGGUCUCAGUUCGGAUCGGGGUCUGCAACUCGACCCCGUGAAGUCGGAGUCGCUAGUAAUCGCAGAUCAGCAACGCUGCGGUGAAUACGUUCCCGGGCCUUGUACACACCGCCCGUCACGUCAUGAAAGUCGGUAACACCCGAAGCCAGUGGCCUAACCCUUUGGGAGGGAGCUGUCGAAGGUGGGAUCGGCGAUUGGGACGAAGUCGUAACAAGGUAGCCGUACCGGAAGGUGCGGCUGGAUCACCUCCUUU